AUUGAACGCUGGCGGCAGGCCUAACACAUGCAAGUCGAACGAGUGGCGGACGGGUGAGUAAUGUCUGGGAAACUGCCCGAUGGAGGGGGAUAACUACUGGAAACGGUAGCUAAUACCGCAUACCAUCGGAUGUGCCCAUAUGGGAUUAGCUAGUAGGUGGGGUAAAGGCUCACCUAGGCGACGAUCCCUAGCUGGUCUGAGAGGAUGACCAGCCACACUGGAACUGAGACACGGUCCAGACUCCUACGGGAGGCAGCAGUGGGGAAUAUUGCACAAUGGGCGCAAGCCUGAUGCAGCCAUGCCGCGUGUAUGAAGAAGGCCUUAGGGUUGUAAAGUACUUUCAGCGGGGAGGCGUUACCCGCAGAAGAAGCACCGGCUAACUCCGUGCCAGCAGCCGCGGUAAUUC
rnacentral:rRNA from 1 species